GACGAACGCUGGCGGCGUGCUUAACACAUGCAAGUCGAACGAAGAGCGAUGGAAGCUUGCUUCUAUCAAUCUUAGUGGCGAACGGGUGAGUAACGCGUAAUCAACCUGCCCUUAGAGGGGGACAACAGUUGGAAACGACUGCUAAUACCGCAUACGAUCUAAUCUCGGCAUCGCGGAUAGAUGAAAGGUGGCCUCUACAUGUAAGCUAUCACUGAAGGAGGGGAUUGCGUCUGAUUAGCUAGUUGGAGGGGUAACGGCCCACCAAGGCGAUGAUCAGUAGCCGGUCUGAGAGGAUGAACGGCCACAUUGGGACUGAGACACGGCCCAGACUCCUACGGGAGGCAGCAGUGGGGAAUCUUCCGCAAUGGACGAAAGUCUGACGGAGCAACGCCGCGUGAGCGAUGACGGCCGUCGGGUUGUAAAGCUCUGCUAAUCGGGACGAAAGGCCUUCUUGCGAAUAGGGAGAAGGAUUGACGGUACCGGAAUAGAAAGCCACGGCUAACUACGUG
rnacentral:rRNA from 1 species